UUUAUGGAGAGUUUGAUCCUGGCUCAGGAUGAACGCUGGCGGCGUGCCUAAUACAUGCAAGUCGAGCGAACAGAUAAGGAGCUUGCUCCUUUGACGUUAGCGGCGGACGGGUGAGUAACACGUGGGUAACCUACCUAUAAGACUGGAAUAACUCCGGGAAACCGGGGCUAAUGCCGGAUAACAUGUUGAACCGCAUGGUUCUACAGUGAAAGACGGUCUUGCUGUCACUUAUAGAUGGACCCGCGCCGUAUUAGCUAGUUGGUAGGGUAACGGCCUACCAAGGCGACGAUACGUAGCCGACCUGAGAGGGUGAUCGGCCACACUGGAACUGAGACACGGUCCAGACUCCUACGGGAGGCAGCAGUAGGGAAUCUUCCGCAAUGGGCGAAAGCCUGACGGAGCAACGCCGCGUGAGUGAUGAAGGUCUUCGGAUCGUAAAGCUCUGUUGUUAGGGAAGAACAAAUGUGUAAGUAACUGUGCACAUCUUGACGGUACCUAACCAGAAAGCCACGGCUAACUACGUGCCAGCAGCCGCGGUAAUACGUAGGUGGCAAGCGUUAUCCGGAAUUAUUGGGCGUAAAGUGCGCGUAGGCGGUUUUUUAAGUCUGAUGUGAAAGCCCA
rnacentral:rRNA from 1 species